rnacentral:lncRNA from 1 species
UUAGCCCCAACUCUCAACACACUGCAGCAGCUCUUCACUGCCCAUGGGUCCUGUCCCCAUGCAGCAGCCCUUCACUGCCCAUGGGUCCUAUCCCCAUGCCAUUCCAUACUAUUCUCUGAAUAAAAGAGCACUACUGCCAGACCUUGAGAGUCCAAGAAAUCUUUCUUUCAACUCCUGGACUCACCGAGCCCGCAUCAAAUAGACACACACACACACACACACACACACACACAGCGCUACAUCACAAAGAUAAGUGGAUUUGAAAGGAACCGGUUUCCUCUGUAACGGGAAGCCAUUACUUCCAGAAGGGCGCAGGGGUUGAGCCGACCGCCAGACAGGCGCUGGGCAGGGCUAGAGUUAGGAAGCCGCGCGCGCCGCCCCAACGGGUCGGAGUGGGAGGAAGGAGGGGGAGAGGCCGACGUGACUUCCCCACCGGCCGCCGGUUCGCCGGCUGACCGGCUGGAGGUCGCGGGAGGAGGGAGGAGACGGUGGCGGCGGGGCGUGGGCUGGAGGGAAGGGCUGUUUGUCGUGACGUCACGGACAGGGCGGGUCCCAUGCAGAUAUGGCAGCGCAGGGGCUGCUGUGUCGUGAUCUGCCGCUUAAACACAAUAUGCUCUCCCGUGGUGUGGGAGCGAGUCCAGGGCUGUUGCUUGAAACCGCGUGUGCGAGCGGUGUGGAAGGGCUAGGGAGGCUCGGGGAGCAAAGUGACCGUGUGUUAUGAGAACGCGACCUCCCUCCCCGGCCCACGCUCAGACGCCUCGCACUGUACACACACGGUCACUUUGCUCCCCGAGCCUCCCUAGCCCUUCCACACCGCUCGCACACGCGGUUUCAAGCAACAGCCCUGGACUCGCUCCCACACCACGGGAGAGCGUAUUGUGUUUAAGCGGCAGAUCACGACACAGCAGCCCCUGCGCUGCCAUAUCUGCAUGGGACCCGCCCUGUCCGUGACGUCACGACAAGCAGCCCUUCCCUCCAGCCCACGCCCCGCCGCCACCGUCUCCUCCCUCCUCCCCCGCGACCUCCAGCCGGUCAGCCGGCGAACCGGCGGCCGGUGGGGGAAGUCACGUCGGCCUCUCCCUCCUUCCUCCCACUCCGACCCGUUGGGGCGGCGCGCGCGGCUUCCUAACUCUAGCCCUGCCCAGCGCCUGUCUGGCGGUCGGCUCAACCCCUGCGCCCUUCUGGAAGCAAAACUGGCAAGCAAGCCGCAUAGGCUUAGAGUCAGUGCAAAAUCUAGGCUGUACAGCGAGGCGGCCUUGGAGGUCAUCUUAAGCCUGUGUCAGAAUGACCUCGCAACCCUUCACCUCGUGACGGAAGACGCCAGCGAGAAAAGAUCUGCAACCAGAAGAGAGAAAGGAAGGAAGAGAAUGCCUUCAAGGAAGUUCCGAUCACCAAUCACCAGAGAUCACCACUCAGCAGAUAACCGGCCCUCAGCUGCUGUUGAUGCCCAGAAGUGAGACUGCCCAAGGGCUUAUCAGGAGUGAAAGAAACACGCGUGACCCCUUGGUUUCUCCUGAGAAACUGCUCCUGCCAAGCCCCUUAGCUCUGUAAAAACCCCUGCUUUCUUCUCUCGUUCAGGUGGAUUUGAGAGAACCUAUCCUCCCGCCUUCUCCGCCAAUUCGAAUAAACCUUUCUCCAUCUCCAAGCGCU